rnacentral:tRNA from 1 species
AGACUCUAUACUUUAACAAAAAGACCUGAUUUGCAUUCAGACAUUGGGCAUAUUAUCCCUAGAGUCUG